UGGUAAACUCUUUCUUACUCUGCAGGUUUCAGCUUGGGUGCCACCAGGACACCUCUGACCCGUGCAAUAAAUAUCCUUUUUUUUUUUUUUGAGACAGAGUCUCAAACUGUCACCCAGACUGGAGUACAGUGGCAUAAUCUUGGCUCACGGCAACCUCUGCCUCCUAGGUUCAAGCAAUUCUCCUGUCUCAGCCUCCUGAGUAGCUGGGAUUUCAGGCUCAUACCACCAUGCCCAGCUAAUUUUUUUGUAUUUUUUUUUAGUAGAGACGGGGUAACAUGUGAAUAGCUAACAUUACUGAGAGCCCACUGUGCCAGAGAAUAUUCAGGCGGCUGUACAGCAAUCCUUAGACAAGUCUGUGAGAUAGGUACUAUCAAUAGCCUCAUUUUACAGGUGAGGAAACAGGCACAGAGAGGUUAAAUCACUUGCCCAAAAGCACACCUAGAAGUGCUAGAGAUGAGAUUUGAAAUCAAAUAGUUUAGCUUGGGCUUCUAACCAUUUUCUUACUAUGUAGAAAGUGCCUUCAUAUGUAUAAAGUGUCACACCUAUGUAAGGAUUUUUUCUUGGUCUUAUAGAGCACUGAUGUGUGGUGCAGAUGCAAGUAUGGCUGUUAGAGUAAUUAAGAAAGGGUGGCUGGGCACAAUGGUUCACACCUGUAAUCUUACCACUUUGGAAGGCCGAAGUAGGAGGAUCACUUGAGGCAAGGAGUUCGAGACUAGUCUGGCCAACAUAGUGAGGGCCCAUAUCUACCAAGAUAAAGAAAGAAUAGGAAAAGAAAAGAAAAGAGGAACGAAGGAAGGAAGGAAAGAAGGAAGGAAGGAAGGAAGGAAAGAGUUAAAAAUCACAGCAUGUCCUCACAGCCGUGUGGCCUAUGGCAAGUUCCUCAACAUCCCUGCUUGUGUCUCUGCUUCUAGGGCUGGUUGCCUGGGUUCAACAGAGCGAUGCAUACCAAGUGCCUUGUGCCCAGCCAAAUGUGGCAGUUU
rnacentral:lncRNA from 1 species